GACGAACGCUGGCGGCGUGCUUAACACAUGCAAGUCGAACGGAGUGGCGAACGGGUGAGUAACACGUGGGUGACCUGCCCUGCACUUCGGGAUAAACCUGGGAAACUGGGUCUAAUACCGGAUAGUGUGGUAUGGGGCCGCGGCCUAUCAGCGUGUUGGUGGGGUAAUGGACUACCAAGGAGGCGACGGUGAGCCGGCCUGAGAGGGUGGACGGCCACAUGGGGACUGAGACACGGCCCAGAGUCCUACGGGGGGCAGCAGGGGCGAAUAUUGCACAAUGGGCGGAAGCCUGCUGCAGCGACGCCGCGUGGGUGAGGAUGGUCUUCGGGUUGUAAACUCCUUUCACCAUCGACGCGGUAGAUGGAGAAGAAGCACCGGCUAACUACGUGCCAGCAGCCGCGGUAAUAC
rnacentral:rRNA from 1 species